ensembl:piRNA 21ur-2928 ncRNA
UGAUUGUUUUUGGUGCUUAUG